rnacentral:rRNA from 1 species
AACGAACGCUGGCGGCAGGCCUAACACAUGCAAGUCGAACGCCGUAGCAAUACGGAGUGGCAGACGGGUGAGUAACGCGUGGGAACAUACCCCUCGGUUCGGAAUAACUCAGGGAAACUUGAGCUAAUACCGGAUACGUCCGAGGUUUUAAUCGACCUUGGAGAAAGAUUUAUCGCCGGAGGAUUGGCCCGCGUCUGAUUAGCUUGUUGGUGAGGUAAUGGCUCACCAAGGCGACGANCAGUAGCUGGUCUGAGAGGAUGAUCAGCCACAUUGGGACUGAGACACGGCCCAAACUCCUACGGGAGGCAGCAGUGGGGAAUAUUGGACAAUGGGCGAAAGCCUGAUCCAGCCAUGCCGCGUGAGUGAUGAAGGCCUUAGGGUUGUAAAGCUCUUUGACCCGGGAAGAUAAUGACGGUACCGGGAGAAUAAGCCCCGGCUAACUUCGUGCCAGCCGCCGCCGU